CCGUGAAUGACUCUGUGUGCCAGAGAGGGAGAAGCUGUCGCCUGUUGAUCCACUGAUUAUUUCUCCUUGUUACAGAUUGAGUAAAAGAAAGUGCUGAAUCUCAUCAA